rnacentral:rRNA from 1 species
UGGGGAAUAUUGGACAAUGGGGGGAACCCUGAUCCAGCCAUGCCGCGUGUGUGAAGAAGGCCUUAUGGUUGUAAAGCACUUUAAGCGAGGAGGAGGCUCUUUUGGUUAAUACCCAAGAUGAGUGGACGUUACUCGCAGAAUAAGCACCGGCUAACUCUGUGCCAGCAGCCGCGGUAAUACAGAGGGUGCAAGCGUUAAUCGGAAUUACUGGGCGUAAAGCGCGCGUAGGUGGUUCGUUAAGUUGAAUGUGAAAGCCCCGGGCUCAACCUGGGAACUGCAUCCAAAACUGGCGAGCUAGAGUAGGGCAGAGGGUGGUGGAAUUUCCUGUGUAGCGGUGAAAUGCGUAGAUAUAGGAAGGAACACCAGUGGCGAAGGCGACCACCUGGGCUCAUACUGACACUGAGGUGCGAAAGCGUGGGGAGCAAACAGG